GUGCGUACUGCUCCAGUCCUCUUUCGGGAGGCGGCUCUGCCCUUGCCGCGUCCUCCAUGGCGCUCUCGGGUGCCAUGGCGGGACAGGCAGUUACCUUGAAAAAAUUAGAGUGUUCAAAGCAGGCGCAUGCCCGGAUAGUUCAGCAUGGAAUAACGGAAUAGGACCUUGGUUCUGUUUUGCUGGUUCCCAGGACCACGGUAAUGAUCAACAGGGACAGUUGGGGGCACUCGUAUUUCAUUGCUAGAGGUGAAAUUCUUGGAUUUAUGAAGGACGAACUUUUGCGAAAGCAUCUGCCAAGGAUGUUCUCAUUAAUCAAGAACGAAAGUUGGGGGAUCGAAGACGAUUAGAUACCGUCGUAGUCUCGACUGUAAACGAUGCCGACUAGGGAUCGCGCGGUGUUGGAUUCGACCCGCGCGGCACCUCGCGAGAAAUCAAAGUGUCUGGGUUCCGGGGGGAGUAUGGUCGCAAGGCUGAAACUUAAAGGAAUUGACGGAAGGGCACCACCAGGAGUGGAGCCUGCGGCUUAAUUUGACUCAACACGGGGAAACUCACCAGGUCCGGACAUGGCGAGGAUUGACAGAUUGAGAGCUCUUUCUUGAUUCCAUGGAUGGUGGUGCAUGGCCGUUCUUAGUUGGUGGAGUGAUUUGUCUGCUUAAUUGCGAUAACGAACGAGACCUUGGUCUGCUAACUAGCGACGCGCGUCUGCGGACGGGCGGCACGCUUCUUAGAGAGACUGUGCG
rnacentral:rRNA from 1 species